rnacentral:rRNA from 1 species
GACGAACGCUGGCGGCGUGCCUAAUACAUGCAAGUCGAGCGCAGGAAGUCAUCCGAACCCUUCGGGGGGACGUUGACGGAAUGAGCGGCGGACGGGUGAGUAACACGUAAAGAACCUGCCCUCAGGUCUGGGAUAACCACGAGAAAUCGGGGCUAAUACCGGAUGGGUCAUCGGACCGCAUGGUCCGAGGAUGAAAGGCGCUCCGGCGUCGCCUGGGGAUGGCUUUGCGGUGCAUUAGCUAGUUGGUGGGGUAAUGGCCCACCAAGGCGACGAUGCAUAGUCGACCUGAGAGGGUGAUCGGCCACACUGGGACUGAGACACGGCCCAGACUCCUACGGGAGGCAGCAGUAGGGAAUCUUCCACAAUGGACGAAAGUCUGAUGGAGCAACGCCGCGUGAACGAUGAAGGCCCUCGGGUCGUAAAGUUCUGUUGUAAGGGAAGAACAAGUGCCGCAGGCAAUGGCGGCACCUUGACGGUACCUUGCGAGAAAGCCACGGCUAACUACGUG